rnacentral:rRNA from 1 species
AUUGAACUCGCUGUGAAGAUGCAGUGUACCCGCGGCAAGACGGAAAGACCCCGUGAACCUUUACUAUAGCUUGACACUGAACAUUGAGCCUUGAUGUGUAGGAUAGGUGGGAGGCUUUGAAGUGUGGACGCCAGUCUGCAUGGAGCCGACCUUGAAAUACCACCCUUUAAUGUUUGAUGUUCUAACGUGGGCCCCUUACCGGGGUUGCGGACAGUGUCUGGUGGGUAGUUUGACUGGGGCGGUCUCCUCCUAAAGAGUAACGGAGGAGCACGAAGGUUGGCUAAUCCUGGUCGGACAUCAGGAGGUUAGUGCAAUGGCAUAAGCCAGCUUGACUGCGAGCGUGACGGCGCGAGCAGGUGCGAAAGCAGGUCAUAGUGAUCCGGUGGUUCUGAAUGGAAGGGCCAUCGCUCAACGGAUAAAAGGUACUCCGGGGAUAACAGGCUGAUACCGCCCAAGAGUUCAUAUCGACGGCGGUGUUUGGCACCUCGAUGUCGGCUCAUCACAUCCUGGGGCUGAAGUAGGUCCCAAGGGUAUGGCUGUUCGCCAUUUAAAGUGGUACGCGAGCUGGGUUUAGAACGUCGUGAGACAGUUCGGUCCCUAUCUGCCGUGGGCGCUGGAGAACUGAGGGGGGCUGCUCCUAGUACGAGAGGACCGGAGUGGACGCAUCACUGGUGUUCGGGUUGUCAUGCCAAUGGCACUGCCCGGUAGCUAAAUGCGGAAGAGAUAAGUGCUGAAAGCAUCUAAGCACGAAACUUGCCCCGAGAUGAGUUCUCCCUGACUCCUUGAGAGUCCUGAAGGAACGUUGAAGACGACGACGUUGAUAGGCCGGGUGUGUAAGCGCAGCGAUGCGUUGAGCUAACCGGUACUAAUGAACCGUGAGGCUUAACCUU